UACGUAGGGUGCAAGCGUUGUCCGGAAUUAUUGGGCGUAAAGAGCUCGUAGGUGGUCUGUCGCGUCUGGUGUGAAAACUCAGGGCUUAACCCCGAGCCUGCAGUGGAUACGGGCAGACUAGAGGUAGGUAGGGGAGAAUGGAAUUCCCGGUGUAGCGGUGAAAUGCGCAGAUAUCGGGAGGAACACCGGUGGCGAAGGCGGUUCUCUGGGCCUUACCUGACGCUGAGGAGCGAAAGCGUGGGGAGCGAACAGG
rnacentral:rRNA from 1 species